CAGGACCUGGUUGCUGCCUGUGGGGUUUGCUUUGAGGCUGGAGGGAGGGAAGCCUUGGCCCUGGGAGCAGGAGUUUUUCUCCUGGCUCUUUCACGGGAAAAGUAGAGGUGGGGAGAUGCACCAUGUCUGGAGGAUAGAGGUCCUGGAAGGUGUUUUUCUGAGUGGAAGGAAAUAUGCACUUUCUGAAUGGACUUUUUUUUUUUUUGCUAUUUGAUAUCUCCUUUCCAGAUGACACCUUUGACUGGAAGUGACAGUGGAGCAGAUCAUUUGUGUAAUUACAGCAACAGUCGUUGAGGAAGGAAAGAAUAUCUCCAAAGCAUAUAAAACAUGAAAUGGAUUUGAUAGUGUAUGAACCCUGUAACCGGAGCUGCAGGAACCUCCUGGCUUAGAGAGGCUGCAAACCUGGGUGAGAUACUUUACACGUCGUUCUAGGAAACAUCAUGCAUGAUGUAAAUGUGUUGGGAUUUCCUACAAUGAACACACAAGGCAAUCAGCAGAAAAACUGGAGUAUCUACAAAGCAAGAUUGAAGCGAUGUGCUGCUGAAAAGGAAACUUCCUGUGAUGGUAAAACAAAUGCUUAGGAUGUGUUGCAACAGAUUCCCUAAAUACUGUGCCCAAGAUUUUCUCACACGGUAACCUGUACACAGCUGAGAACCUGAAUAUAUUGUAUGCAAUUGAGCCAAAACUGUCAGAGCAAGUGAAGCUGUCUCACCAGUGCUGGUGGGAACUCCAGGAGCUGUAAGAUCACUGUGAAGACCAAAUGCUUCCUGAGAUGGGUACUGUUCUGGUGCCUACAUAUACACCAGGAGGACUGGAAAACUGCCCCAAAGAGUUAAAUGGCUGCUCAACAUCAAAGACAGCAGAGAGAUGUCUGACUGUGCUCAGUGUGUAUAUUUUUCAGAACUGUAAGCAAGGAACUUACAGGACCAACAUGAAGGAUCGGCAUAAACCCUAAGCAUGAGCUGUGGAGCGAGCAAUAACUUUAAUUUGGCGUACUGUAAAGUACUUACCUGGACCUCCAUAGGCUCCUCUGCCUGAUGUGGGACACUGCGGCAUCAAAUGGACAUCCUGGAGAUUGGAAAGGGCAGAGGAUGGCAAGAAGGACAGCAACAAUACUUAUGAAUUUGCUAUGUGCAGAAAGCCUGAAAAACCUGGAAAAGCAUUUGGGGGGAGGGGAGAGAGCUUUCUCUUUCUAUGUUUGAAAGAUGCAUAGGAGGAGUUUGGGAGUAGAACUAUUGAAAAACUCCUUAAACUUACUUUGAAUCACAGAAUGUGUUCAUAAAUGUGAAGUGUAAAGGAAAGUAGGUGAAAUAAGAGUAUAAAUGCUUUUAUUUCUUUCAGGAUGAAAGAAACUUAAAUUGCUGUCACUGUGCCCAAAAGGAGGCAGCCUGCAUUGCCACCUAGCUGGGCUAAAAUACAGGGAGACAUCAAUGGAGCAGAGAGUGGGGUUUGGCACUGGUUUUCUCUAGCAGAAGUUCCAUCUUGAUCAGUUAUGUAGUUGAAGGCCAAGUGAUUAAUCUAAAGUAUUAAGACAGGAGGAAGAGCUGUGUGUGGGCAGUGCUGGGGGCUCAGCUGGUGGGCAGUGCCUUGCUUGUCUGGAUGCUCUGCCAAAGGGCAUGAGGAAAGGCCAGAGCUGUACCUGGAGAGAGAUCUUGUUUUGUACAUUGCAUCCUGUGCUGCUUGUCUCAUCCAUGUCAUUCACAGAGGCUCUUCUAACUCCCUCAUCUUGGGGGAUGAUGGGGCAUAACACAGCAGGACAUAAUACCUGACACAAAUUAUUUGUCAGGUGGAAAGCAAAAUAAAAUCAGAGGGCAAAGAAAAAUACUUAAUAAAAAUCCUCUUAUAAAUACUGAAGACUCCCAAUAAAGAAAAAUACUGAUAGAGAUGACUAGCAUGAAGUUGAAGGGCUUCAAGCUAAACACGUGUCAGGGUCUGGGUUUACUGGACUCAUGUAAAUGGAUGAGGAGACAAAGUGCAUCAGUGCUGGAAUGCCAUUGAGCAAAGUGACUGUGUACACAUGCUGUGACCUACAAGUGAUUAGCUAGCAGCAAUCUUGCUAGUUUUAUUGUUGAGUCACAAAAACACUUGCUGUAUAUAUGACCUGCUAAUUAGUCCACUAGCACAGCUACUAAUACACUAAUUUAUGGAGAAAUAACAUGAGAAAAAUUGAGGCAGUGCAGUUUGUUUUGUAAUGGAGCUGCAUGCACAUUCUCUUAUCCAAAGUGUACUGAACUUUGUGGAUAAAAAUAGAAAUACCACUGUUGCCUCAUGCUCAGUGACACUGUUGAUGUGAUGUGAGCCAGAGCAGCACAACGUUCUCUGCUCUAAAAAAUCACUUUUUCCAUCAGAUUGUAUAAGUGCUGCAUAAAGCCACUCUUGUGUUUUUCUUAGAUUUAUUCAAAUUAUACUUAUUAAACUAUGUGUUCAGGUUGGGUUUUUCCUUACAAUAAACAGUUGGUAAAUCAGCAUGGCCAAAAAAAAUAAUAAAUUCAUCUGAAACCUUGAAAAUAAAACAUACUUAAUGUGAGAGAAAUCAUUUCUUAGGGACGGAAGUUCACAUCCAUUUACUGGUUUAUAUGACUUGUGCAUACUUCUGCUCUUCAUGGGCUUGUUUAGGAGUGAUGACCCCAAAACACAAUUGGGAUGUUCUUCUGGGAUUUGUUGUCUGAGCAAAAACAGGAAAUAUAAAAAUCUUGUGAGAAACUGCUCUAACGCACUGCUAACCCUUUUUGUAGGGCCAAGAUCGAGGGGCAGUGCAAGUUGCAAGGUUUAUAUCUAACUGCUCAGGUGCAUUUCCUUUUGAAUCUGGCUGCUCUGGUAGUUUUCUGCCAUUUUUUCCUCCCCUAUUUCUGUGAAUUUUAACAAUAUUUGUAUUCAGUUCUACUAGAGUAUUAGUUCACUUACUUCAAGACACUUUGUAUUAUAUAUGAUGGAGCAGAUAUAAACUGGAGUAACUCCAAUGCCUUCCCAGAGCAUGAAGCUGUUGUGUCAAUGAAGCUGUA